rnacentral:rRNA from 12 species
CUUCUGCCGAGUCCGGUGCGUCCUCGACGGCCCUUGAAAAUCCUGGGGAGCAAACAUUUCACGCCUGGUCGUACUGAUAACCGCAGCAGGUCUCCUAGGUUAACAGCCUCUAGUUGAUAGAAUAAUGUGGAUAAGGGAAUUCGGCAAAUUGGAUCCGUAACUUCGGGAUAAGGAUUGGCUCUAAGGGUUGGGUAUAUUGGGCCUUGUACGAAACCUCAGGACCAGGUUGGAACUGUUUU